rnacentral:rRNA from 1 species
GCCUAACGCAUGCAAGUCGAACGGAGCCAUCUAAACAAUCCCUUCGGGGUGCGUUUGGGGAAGCUUAGUGGCGGACGGGUGAGUAACGCGUGAGUAACCUGCCUUUCAGAGGGGGAUAACGUUCCGAAAGGAACGCUAAUACCGCAUAACGUAUUUUUACCGCAUGAUAGAGAUACCAAAGAUUUAUCGCUGAAAGAUGGACUCGCGUCUGAUUAGCUAGUUGGAGGGGUAACGGCCCACCAAGGGGACGAUCAGUAGCCGAACAGAGAGGUUGAUCGGCCACAUUGGGACUGAGUCACGGCCCAGACUCCUACGGGAGGCAGCAGUGGGGGAUAUUGCGCAAUGGGGGAAACCCUGACGCUGCAAUGCCGCGUGAAGGAAGAAGGUCUUCGGAUCGUAAACUUUUGUCUUCAGGGACGAUAAUGACGGUACCUGAGGAGGAAGCCACGGCUAACUACGUGCCAGCAGCCGCAGUAAGAC